AGUGCAUAUAAACUUAGCAUUAUGCUUGUACAACAUAAAUGGAAAGAAAAUUGAAAAGAAAAGAAAAUGAACAAUUAGGGUUCAAAAAUAACUAACUACACAUUCUUCAAUUCAUCAUCAUCAUUACCAAUUACUAUGGGUUCGGGAGAAGGAAGUAAGGUCCAUUGGAGCGUCUUCGACGGCGUUAAGAUAAUCGCUGCGACACCGGAGGCUCUAAUGUCAGAGAUCGACUCUGCAAUUUCAAAUCUCGAAUACUCACGCGCCACCGCUUUCCUCGAAUCCAAAGGCAUACACGACGCACGUACGGCUGAUGAAUCGUAUAGGGCGGGUUGCGCCGCUUUGGCCGCCGGUAAAUUAGAUGAAGCUCGACGUUGUUUCAAUGUUUCUCUGUCGAAAUGUCCGCCUGAUAAGACUGCAGCUGUUGCUAAACUUCAAUCUUUGAUUUCUCUCACUUCUCAACAUCUUCAAUCAUCAUCAUCUUCAAAUUAAUUAAGAUGUGCAACUGCUAACGAUUUGUGGUGCGAACUCCUUCGUGGUAAUUAUAGCUGCCAGGUUGCUCAUGGAUACAUUGAGACAAAGGUUUCAAAUUCUAGUCUAUGGAAAAAUAUAGUUCAGCUUAGUCCAAAGUUGAAUUAUUAUUGUUUUUGGGUUGUUGGUAAUGGGCGUAGUAUUGAAGCUUGGUAGAACGUGUGGAUUCAAGUGGGACUGCGUGUUGAAGACCUUUUGAUGUUCAUAUACCUGACGACAUUAAAGAUGUUAAGGUCUGUGAUUUAGUAGAUAUUCAUAGUGAUUGGAACUGGAGCUUGCUUCCCCACCCGAACUUAAACUCAAUUUAAUUGGGUUUGAGUUUGGGUUCGGGUGGCACCUGAAUAUAUGGGCGUGAAUUUGGGUAGUAUCAAACUCGCACCCAUGGACACCCAUUACCAUCCCUGGUUUUGACUUUUGAGUGGUUGUAAGUGUAAACAUAAACAAAACCAUAAAUUGCCGUAGAAUACACUAAUCGAAAAUUUAUUUACGGCUUGUGUAAGAAGUAUAUUCUUGUGUGUUUUAUGUGUUAGAGUGCAGAUAUGUUUAUGUUUUAGACAAUGUAUUUUUCUUUUGGAAAUGAAUUCUCUAAAACAACUCAAAUUUUUUUGCAUAUAACAAAUGGAUAUGCAGGAGGGAAAAACCUUUCCACAUAUUUCAUGUUAUGUUUAAAGGUAUAAGGUCCCAAGAAUGCUUGAGAAGUGGUUUCUAAGGGAAAGGGAAUUAAAAUCGCUGCUAUAUUGCCUCCAUCUGAUACGCGGCAAUUAGGAGCAGGAGCUGGUAGUAGCAGACAUUCUGUUACUGAGAUGUAUAACAUUAUUUGUGGCUUUGAUGAUGCUAAUAUUGAUGUCAAGUAGAAGUAUAUUUGGAAUUUAAAUGUUACAGAACGUAUCAAGUAUUUUCUAUGGAUGGCUCUUCAUGAAAGAUUACUCACAAAUAUAUUUUGAAUUUAAACGUUACAGAACGUAUCAAGUAUUUUCUAUGGAUGGCUCUUCAUGAAAGAUUACUCACAAAUAUAUUUUGAAUUUAAAUGUUACAGAACGUAUCAAGUAUUUUCUAUGGAUGGCUCUUCAUGAAAGAUUACUCACAAAUAGUGUUAAGGCUAAGAUGAGGUUAUGUCCUGCAAUGUGCAACUAUAGUGCCAUCGGAAGCUUGCGGCUUAUUUUUCAGUGGAAAUAUUUCUCAUUGGAUGCAAUAUAACUUGAGGAGUGAUAUUAAAGGAAUUAGUGGAGCCCGUUGGGAGGACUUUUGGGCAACGGCUUGUCAUUGUUUGUGGCGCAAGCUGAGUUCAGUCGACCGGUGCAACCUGUGUUGCAAAUUAUGUAGCGUACCAGUGAUUAUUAUCACGUGUGCAAGUCUAGUCGAACUGUUACAAUGACAACAAAAGCAGUCAGGUGGGUUGGUUGGCAGCCACCGAAGGAGGGUCGGGUGGAGGUGAAUACAAAUGGGGUGAGUAAAGAUGAGGGAAUAGAGGCUGUGGUGGACUUAUUAAAGAUAAUUGAUGAGUUCUUGCAGAGACAGAGACUAGUGAGUUUGAAUAGCAGAAGCACUGAUGGAUCUCACUCGCAGGGCAUUGCUAUGGAGCGAGGAGAUGGGAAAGUGCACAAGUAUUCUAUUGCUUAUUUAUCAAGUUUUACAUGGCCAUCUUGGUUAUUAUGCAGAAGUAUAUGCUAUAUAUGUCCAUUGUGAACUUGAUUGGAAUCUUAAUUAUCUGAAUUGAUGUUAGAACAGUGUUAUCAAUUGCAGAUAGUGAGAAAUAGCGGUUUGUUUAAAUUCUGCAACCCAACAUUGUUAAACGCUGCUAUAACCGCUCUAUGACAACAUUUUGUACUAAAUAUCAUUAUUGUGGAAAAUAACGAUUUGUUAUUUCAGACAUUCAGUUAUUGAGAAUUUUUUGUUUCACAUUUCCUGGAAUAUCAAAUUUAAC